AUCUAUUUCUGCUGUUUGAUGCCCUGUUGUUUGUGUUUUUUUUUCUUCUGCUGCAGUUUAGCUCAUAUAGGGUGAUGAAGAUCAUUAUUAUGCAUUACUUUUUCUUUCUUUAAUUUAUGUAUUAGUAUUAAAACAGACUGAAUUAUAUAUAAUAAACCAUCAGACUUUGGCCAUUUGUCUGAUUUUGAAAAUCUUUCAUUUCAAGAAAAAAUGAAAUGUUUCCAUGGAGAUCAGCCAGAGAUAGCCAAAUGACGAACUUCUUGGCUGUACUUUCAGUUUGGUUUCUAUGGUUUCCAGACAAGGAGGUGGAAAAAGUGAAGUUGCUGAGGUUCUUUUUCUUUCUUUUCUUUUUCUGCUUUCCUGCAUGUAGAAGGUUAGUGUAAACCAAGUGGUGAAAUCGCUGAUCUUUGCCUUCUUGUUCCUUGAAAAACCUUGUAUAGGUGGCAUACUUCUAACCCUUAAGAUGUGCAAUCUGUAUGCAGUAACUGCCAGUGCCCUUAUUAGACAUGCAUCCUGCAGCACCUGUGACCUGCAAGGAAGAUGGCUUGCUCUUCAUGCUGUAAUCUAGUGAGUGAUGCUGCCACAGAGCUAGGAGGUGGCUGUACUCUGGCUGUGUGCAAAUAAUCCUGACAGGAGGAGGAGAUGCAGAUUCCAGUGGAGCAGAAAUAGAUCUAUGGCCACCCUCUGGCUGAAAGUGUGGGUGUUACUUCCCUCCUCUGCACAUCUUUCAGUUGAGAUAAAAUGGUGUACCAAAAAUUAACUUAAAAAAUCCCUGUCUCCUCAGCUAAAUAUUUAUGCAAUAAUCCCUAUGGCCUAGAAGGGAAGAAUACACUAGGGAGCACAAGGCUUUUACCUCUGCUUGAAACCCUGGGCUAUCCCAAAUUAUCUGAACUUUGCAGGUGGGAUGGUGGUUUUUACCCUCCCAGGGAAACCAUUUUCACCUGGGCUUGUGACUGUGCUCUACCUCUUUUAACAUAGCAGAAAGGGCAUCUCAGCCUAAAUUUUCUUACUGUGCUUUGAGAUGCUUGUGGAAAUGCCUGUUGUGUUUAUGGGUCUGCCAACAGUAAAAGGAAGAAAAGAUUCUCAUGGUAAGUCUGAAGGUUUGGCUUUCAGACGAAGAAUUAGAAGUAAGAGGCAGCAGGUAAAACAGAUCUCACAUGGACUCUGGCUUAAAUUUAAAGACAAGUUGAUUUACUUAUUUGAUUGGGCUUAAAAUAUCUAACAUAAUUUUGGGAAAAUGAUCAUGGUCUACUAAGUCAGAAGAGCCCAGAAAGCUGGUAAAAUAAAAAUGUCAUGGUGUGGUGAAGGUUGGCUUUCCUCAAAUGAUUUUUUUCUUAAACCUGGGAGAGCCUGGACAUAUGCUGAGGUACUCAGCCUGAUUAAUGCUACUAGGUAUUCACCAGCCUUCACCACAAAAUCCCUUCUCAGACAGUAAUACCAAAUAUUCUUGCUUUUUUAAUUACUUAAAAAUAUAUAUUUGUAGUAUGAUAUAGGAAACAAACGAUCUUGGAGGUGGUUAUCUGAAUCAUUUUAUUAUAAACACUGAACAAUUAAAUUCAAAGUAUUUAUAGACAUUUGAUUGAACGUUUCAAAUAAAUACAGUUUUUCAUUUGAUGCUUUCUUUUCAGGAGACUAUGUUGAAAUAUCCUUUGUAUCAUAAAAUUUAAUGCUCUGCUUUAGUAGUUUCAAAGCUCAAGUAUUUAUGCUUAUGGAUAGACACAUGUAGACAUAGCAGAAAUUCUGUCCCAAGUGAUUCUGACACAGCACCUCUUUUCCUUUGGCCAUAGCAGGGUUCAGUCAUACUUGGUCCCACUUUGCAUGAGCCCUCAGAGGUCAGUGCUUCAUUUGCAUGAUUUUAAUAACCUGUGCAACCCAGUGAGUUCACACUAUGUAGAACUGGAAAGAGAUUUGUUGGUGUGAAGAUUUCUCACUGCAAGGGCAGAAGGAAUUCAGAGGAGGGAGGGGAAAAAUAUAUUGCAUAUGUGUGCUGUGUAGGAAGUGUAUUUGGGACUAAGGAGAUUCCCUGAGAACAGAAAAGGGAUAAUUCUGAGUAGAUGAAUUAGCAGAACAGAUUUGGAAGCUUGGUCCAGGAAAAAUGUUGGAGCUGGGGAGGGAGGGAUAGAGUAAUAUUGCAACAGUAUCGAAAGAAUCAUCCUCACUGGAAAAGAGGUUGUGGGUUUUUUAUUAUUAUUAUUAUUAUUUUAAUUUUUUAAUGACUCCAGAUUCUGUUGUGUGCCUCAUGUCUGAAAACAUAGGCUGAUCAAAUUGUGUAGCAGGUUGUUAUCAAGGUCUCACUGUCCACAAUUAGCAACAUCCUAAGCUUUUAUUUUGGUGGAGAUGAUGUUCUGAUCUGGUUUGUCUUCUGCUUUCAGCAAUUGUUACACUUGUUUCUAGGAUUUUAUCCCAUACAAGUUUAAAUACAAGUAAACUUGAGCAGAAAAUGUAUUUUAAUUCAAUAAAUUGUUGAUCUAUUCUUCAAAUAUGUUGGGAUGUUUUACUAAAGAGUCAACCCCGUGUUGCUGUGCAAUACGCAGAAUCCUCGCUGAAC
ensembl:lncRNA